GGAUGUGAGGGCGAUCUGGCUGCGACAUCUGUCACCCCGUUGAUCGCCAAGGUUGAUUCGGCUGAUCUGGCUGGCUAGGUGGGUGUCCCCUUCCUCCCUCAUCACUCUGUGUGUGUCUCUCCAGAAGCUGCGUGCUCUGUGGAAUAGAACAGCCUUCCCCGUAUAGAGACUGACUGGUUUUGGUUUCGAGGGGUAUACGAGUAGCUGUGCUCCCCUGCUAGAACCCUCCAAAACAAGCUCUCAAGAAUAAUAAUACAGUCUUACAAUUGUAGACAAAACUCAGUUGUUGA
rnacentral:snRNA from 1 species